AUACGGAGGGUCCAAGCGUUAUCCGGAAUCAUUGGGUUUAAAGGGUCCGUAGGCGGGCAAUUAAGUCAGAGGUGAAAUCCCACAGCUCAACUGUGGAACUGCCUUUGAUACUGGUUGUCUUGAAUUAUAGUGAAGUAGAUAGAAUAUGUAGUGUAGCGGUGAAAUGCAUAGAUAUUACAUAGAAUACCGAUUGCGAAGGCAGUCUACUAACUGUAUAUUGACGCUGAUGGACGAAAGCGUGGGGAGCGAACAGGAUUAGAAACCCCAGUAGUCC
rnacentral:rRNA from 1 species